AUGUCGACGUCGGCCAUCUCGUCGGAGAACUCGCCGCCGGCAGCCGAACAGGUGGAUGGGGUAGGCAUUGUUCAGCACAGCUCCGAGUUCUACUUGGCAGACUCGACAUACUGUGGCUUGGAGCCGCGCUCGAAGCAUCGUUGCCCGAGGCACCAGCUAAUCCCGGCUUGUCGUGUCGCCUGGGGAGGCGCAAGCACUGAACGUCGUUUUUUGGGUUGCCCUCUGGAUUUGCCAGAUGAAUGUGAAUGGGCAGUUUGGGUUGACCCACCACCUCCAGAACGUGUUGGUCUUGCCUUUGAAGAACUGCACGAAGUGAUCGAACAUAGCUGGAUCAGAAGUCACCACCUGGAGAAGAGAUCAAUUGAUCUUGCGAAGAAGAAUCGUGCAUUGAACAAGGAGUUGAAGAAAAUGAAAGAAAUUAUGUGCAUAGGGACAAUGUUGUUUGCUAGCAUUUUCAUUUGUUUUCUAGCAAUCUCAAUGGCUGUCUGUGCACAGAAUGCACAUUAG
rnacentral:rRNA from 1 species